rnacentral:lncRNA from 1 species
AAAGCAAGCAAAACCGGCACAAACCCUGCUGCUGGGAGUCAGAGGGUCUUCGGAGAGGCUGAGUGAGACUGUGUGCCAUUGUAUUCACACUGGCGCAUGCACCCACGCGCGCACCAACGCCCACACCACACCCAUGACCAAACCCACACUUACAUCUACCUCCACGUCCACACUUAACACCCACACUUACAUCUACCUCCACGCCCACACUUACACCCACGCUUACAUCUACCUCCACGCCCACACUUACACCCACCCACACUUACAUCUACCUCCACGCCCACACUUACACCCACCCACACUUACACCCACGCUUACAUCUACCUCCACACCCACACUUACACCCACACUUACAUCUACCUCCACACCCACACUUACACUCACGCUUACAUCUACCUCCACGCCCGCACUUACACCCACCCACA